CCAUUUUGAACCGAAAAGCCUGUAGCCAGCCAGCAACGUGACAACUCGAAUCGCAACGAACUAGCUAGCUUCUGGAUCGCUGCCUGCUGGAGUUCCGUUUCAUCAUCCAAAAACGCAUCUUCCCAUCGGAGACCAAAGUAGCAGCAUCAUCGGCAUCGCUGCUCCAACUACUGCCUGUCACAGCAAUUCCAACUCUAACGCCGAGAGUUAAGAAUUACGAUCCUUAGCAGCGUAGGGAACUGAGGAAGUGAUCGUAAUCAUCUGCGCGCUAAGAUCAUUUGAGCUCAAGACAGCGUCAAACUGCGAAGCUUACAUCUGGUUGGUCUUCUUCGUUCCUCUGUGACUCAACAUGUUCACCAAAUUAUUUCAUAAGAACGCUGAUGCGGGGGAGCAACCUUCGUCCUCUGCUCAGGUAUGUUUCCUUAUUUACUUCUCUGUGUGUGUGCUGGCGUAGCGGAGCUUACAACGAGUUUGCCGAGAUUGUAGUAACUUAAUCAGAGCUCAUACUUGAGAAUUGGUCAUCUAUGUUCUGAACAAAACUAGAGAAUGCUCCGACAAGUGGUCGAACAAAGAAAUAAGUUUGUUGAGAGUUAUUUGCACUCAUAGAGUGUAUUUAAUGGUGUUGUUUCUGCUUAAGCAGGAUAAUGCAUCGAAAGGAAUUUUGUCAUCCAAAGACAUAAACCCUCGUGUAAAUCUCCACUACGGGAUCCCCUCAACCG
rnacentral:lncRNA from 1 species